rnacentral:ncRNA from 1 species
UAAAAAACAAUGCGUAGAAGAGUAGUUUCCAGAAUGAUUUAAAGAGAGUCCCUAGUUGGUGUGAUGGGAUAAUCAGACUGGAAGUGAAAGUAGUCUACAAGUCGUAACUAUGAUUUCAAUGGUAGUAGUUACUGGGAAUGCGCCCAUUACCGCAAUGGAGUAUCGUUCAGAUCAGACCGGUCUUUUCUGAACCGUACUUUUUGAGCUGAUUAUUGUGAGAUAAUCAGGAAUAAAGGUGGUAACACGUGAAAAACGUCCUUAGC